UUUGGUCAAUCAUUCCACCAAAAACCUCCCCAACUUGUAUGCUGGCAUGUAUUUAAACUCCUUGGAGCUGACAAGAUUGUGGCCAAAAAGCCAUUGACGUUGAGCACCCAGUGCUUGGCACUGGGCUGGACUCUGCUGGAGGAGAUGGAAGGAGAACAUCUCCCUGGGCUUCCACCUCACACAACCCAUUAACCCAUAAAGGCACAUAUUACAAAUCUUGGAGACGCUCAUGCUUGAAUAGAACUUUGUAAUCUUGCCUCAUUCUCAUUCAGGCAGGCAAUCCUAUGUGAAUGUCAAGCACACAAGCUAGACAGAAGAAAGAACUUCCAUAGGGCAUCAAUACUGUAUAGAAAAAUCAUCCAACUUGAAGGAUUCUCUUCUUGAGAGGUAAUGAACGAGGAGCACCCUCACCUUGCUGAGCCAGAAUUAAGCUUGGACAACUUCCUGAAAGACAGAAGUAUAAAGCAAGGAUUAGCAGAGAGGUGGGCAGCCUGGAGACAAGCAGAAAGGGGCUGAGGGCCACUUCAGAGAGUCUUCGACAUAUCGCCAUAAAUUGUCUUCUGAGGAGGAAGCCAGAUCCAACAUCAAGUUCUAACAGUGAAGCCUCGAAGAAGAGACUGGAAUAACCAGGGAGGAAGGAACACUGUAUAUCUGUGGCAUUGGGUGGCAGGAGUCAUCCCUGAGAGACUUUGCAGACUAGGCCAGUCCAGCCGGGCCAGCACGAGGUCUCUGAAGGGAGCAGGCCGCUGUGUGAGGGGCCAGGAAGGGAUUUUAUAUAACACUGUGCACUUGCUACUCUGAUCAAGAACCCUCAGAGCUUCCUGGAGUCCCUUUUAACAAAAGCUCUUCACCUUUCCGGGCCUCCUUCCAGAAGCCCUGUUCUGGCCUAAAGCCCUCUUCUGCAAGGUGCCUGCUGAGCAUGGUGUCUUUCCUCCAGAGAGCCUGAGGCCAGCACUAUCCUGGCUGGGCAGGUGGCCCAGCUCAGAGGAAGGAGAACUGACCCACGGGUAGCAGGGCUGGGCUCCCAAUUUCUGACUGGGUAACCUGGAUCUAGAUCUCACAAGGGUAGUGACUAAGUGCCCAGACCCUGGAGAGGGACUACCAGGGUUCAAAUGCUGCCCUUGCCAUUCAAGGAGUUUGGCCAAGUUAUUUAAUCUCUCUGCCUUAGUUUCCUCAUAGGAAUAAAGAUAUUUCAAAGUUAUUGAGUUUUAAAUUGGAUCACCCAUGGAAAAUGCAUGACAGGGGGCUGGGGUUGUAGCUCAGUGGUAGAGCAUGGGCCAAGCAUGU